rnacentral:rRNA from 1 species
AGCAGCCGCGGUAAUUCCAGCUCCAAUAGCGUAUAUUAAAGUUGCUGCAGUUAAAAAGCUCGUAGUUGAAUUUCGGGACUAAUAUGUCGGUCGUGCCUCGGUACGUACUGGCUUAUUGGUUUCUCCUUUCUGAAGAACCAUGAUGUCAUUUAUUUGGUGUCGUGGGGAAUCAGGACUGUUACUUUGAAGAAAUUAGAGUGUUUAAAGCAGGCUCACGCUUGAAUACAUUAGCAUGGAAUAAUGAAAUAGGACGUUUGAUUCUAUUUUGUUGGUUUCUAGGAUCGACGUAAUGAUUAAUAGGGAUAGUUGGGGGCAUUAGUAUUCAAUUGUCAGAGGUGAAAUUCUUGGAUUUAUUGAAGACUAACUACUGCGAAAGCAUUUGCCAAGGAUGUUUUCAUUAAUCAAGAACGAAAGUUAGGGGAUCGAAGACGAUCAGAUACCGUCGUAGUC